AUGUCAAUUGAAAAAUUAAAUUGUAGUAAACUUAAUACACACAGACACGUUACUCAAAGUAAUACUUUAUUUUUUACUAAAGUAUUUUAUUUUUUUGAAAGUUCCGUGUUAACGUUCAAAGAAUAGAGGGUAUCACGAAGGCUUAGAGGCCGGUUAAGAAGACGGUGCUUUAUCAUGUGCUCCUACAUAAAUACUAACCAUGAAAUGCACGAGGUGAAAACGAAAAGUAUCGACUCACCCUGAAGAUGAAGGACAUCCUCGCCCUGCUCGGGAAAGCGAUGGACGCCAGUUGGUGAAAAGCCAGGAAGUAGUUGAAGAGGAAGACGAUACUCGGUAUGUAGGGUAUGAACGCUCCCGAAUUCGAACGCCAACAUUUCAAUCCCCAUAUGCCUCCCAUGCCUCCUCGGAUCCUCUUUAUCAUCCCGUAUCCCACUUAAACCUCAUAAUUUUGAACUUAUCUCAAUUUUGCAGAAAGAAAUUUCAAACAGCUGACGGGAAAUAUAGUCUAUUUUUUACCAUGAAUUUUCUAAUGAUUUGUUAGUUGUUGUUUUUUUUUCUACUAAAUACUACAAGUACUAAACAGGUUUAUCUAAACAUCCGUGUGAACAGAAAGGAACCACGUGUCGAAAACGACAGCGGCCACGUUUUCUCUAUAUCUGUCAAAGAAACCGUGCAUUUGAUUCUGUGACUAUGUCGUGUAACGGAAACUCCAUUGAUCACUAGUCAAAUACAACACAGAUCUGAUAAAAAUCAUUCAGAAGGUUGGUCAG